GGAACGGCAAACUAGUGUGGGUAGGGCUUCCUGCUCAACGUUUACUUUCGUUUUCCUGAACUUCGUGGUUGCUGUUUGUCUUCGUGUGAAGCUCCGUGUUAAGGAAACCCUGACUAAUUCCAGGAAAUCGAUCCCUGUGACGAGGCUGUUCUGUAUCGGUGUCUCUGUGUGAAGAAACUGUGAAGGUAGAAAGUGUAUGUGAGCUGAUGUGAAUACAGCAGCAUGGAUCAGUAUGAGGGCAGAGAGGAGGGAGUCUUCCCAAACAGAGUCCCCACUCUGUUUGGGAAACAUGAGAGCCAGACCAAAGCUCAGAGGUGAGAUGACCAUCUCUAACUGUCCAUGACAACACUCACAUCAACCACUCAACCAAACAACAAAUACAGAAUUAAACAAAAAGAAAAUUAAAAAUCAAAAGGUGUGUUCUAGUGAACAUAAAAAAAAAAAAAAUCUCAGAUGUAAUGUUAAAAUCUUUUGUGUGAUUUGGAUCAUUUCAAAUAAAUAAAUGUAUAAUCCAAAAAAGUGGCUAUAUUAAUACUGAAACAAACAAGAAAAUAAAGAAAAAUCUUCCCUUUAAACGAAACUUAUAAAUUCUUUGACAGGAAAACAAGUAUGUUUACCUUAUCACGUUUUAGCAGUGUGCGUAGGUGGUUAAUAAUAUAACCAGCGGUGCUGAAGGCACGUUCUGAAGGUGUUCCUGUGGUUGAUAUACUCAAAUAUUUCCAUGCCAUGUCUGACAUCAAUGGGAAAUGUUUUUCAUGCAUUUUCCUUGAAACCCUUAGUUCAGGGUCAAAGUUUCAAGAAAUUCAAUCUAUCUAUCCAUUUUCUAUCUCUUAUCUGAGGCUAGGCCAUAGGAGCAGGAGCCUUAGCAAAGAACUCCCUCACCUCAGCCACAUAACAACACCGAGGUAUUCUCAGGCCAGGUGCGAGUCUGGUCUCACCAGCGGGGUGGGAGUGAGGAGGUUCUCAAAGUAUUCCUUCCACCUCCCUACUAAACUCAACUAAGACAAACUAAUAAUAAUAAUAAUAGAACUUAACAUUAUCUCAAUAUAUCAUAAGCAAUCAAAA